rnacentral:pre_miRNA from 1 species
GAAAUACUCCUUCCGAUUCAUAUUAAUUGUCUCAAAUUUGCCCAAAUAUGAAUGUAUCUAUGUCUAAAAAACGUCUAGAUAUAUGUAAUAUUUUGACAACUAAUAUGGAUCGGAGGGAGUAUAUA